AAUUAUCAAACCUUUCUGGUUAUUUUCUGAAUAGCUAGUCUGGCUUGGAUUUAUGGGAGUUUGCAGGCUUCUUCAAAAGUCAGCUCUUCUUAAAUAUAUUAGCAGGACAUUUGCCUAACAAAAUCAGUUUGGUGUUGAUAAACUAUCUAUACCAUUCAAAAGUUGGCGUUGUUUAGCUUUCUAAUAGUCUGUUUAGACAAUUUGAUUGACA
rnacentral:misc_RNA from 1 species